AGGGCAGAAAGUCUGCUCUGUGGUUUUGCAAACCAGGGCCCAAAUUCUGCAAACCUUAGUACCACUGGACUCAAUGGAACUUCUCGUGUGCAUAUAGUUAUUCAUAUCUGAAAGUGUUUGCAGGGUUGGAACCUAGAUGUUUAUUUCCUGGUAGAACAUCAGUAGGAAAAGAAAAGAAGAUAAGAGACAACAGGCUAGAAAAUAUCCAGGCUAAAACAAGAAUAAAACAAAAAUAGGACACAGACAAGAGUUGUUAUUUACAUAUUUAGUUUUAGCAAGGUGUGAGGGAUGCAACAUCCCAGUAAGACUCAUGGCAGGAAUUCUAGGGUUCAUCUUCCUCUCUCUCUCUCUUAUUUCCAUUAUUUCUUUUGGGGCAUUUUGGUACUUCCUAGAAAAUUGUUUAGUAUACAUUUAUUUACACUGUGAUGGCAUACAAUAAAUUUGAGCAAAUGACGUGCAAACAUUUUACAAAUUCACAAAAGCUCACAUUUCCACCUUUGCAACCAUAAAAAAAAGCCACUUACCACAUUGCUGCUACAUGUGACCAAAAACUGAACUACAGAGAGCAUGAACAGGAAGUGAUAGAGGCUAUAACUUGUAACUUACAGCAGAUGGCAAGAAUGGGAUCUGAAUUCCACUGAAACUUCCUUAAAGUUCACCAAGCCCCUGAAAGGGUAUAAACUAAAUCAGGAGCUACUCUUUGAUGUGUUCCACCAAAUUUCCCUUUCAUCUUUGUUUCUAAUGGCCUCCACAAUGUAACAUUGUAGUGUAUAAAUAUGCUACACCCUAACCAAAUUAAAAUGAUGAAGCUUGAACAAAUGCACAAAAAAAGGCUGAUGAGGAAAUAACUACCUCAGAGUUACUCUUAAGAGGUAGCAGUAGUGAAAAGGAAGCACUGUUAACUUGAGGGCUGGCGGAGAAAUUGAUAAAUGAAUCUGCAAUGUUCAUGCAGGCCAGAUGACAGCGAAGGAAAGGAAGAGCAGAAUAGCUGAGCUAAGAAAGGAACACUAUAUAUAUUUCAUUUACUGAGAGGAGGUAUCUGAUUUACUAAUAAAAUAAUAAUAACUUUUUCAAAGCUUCCUAUUCUGGGCUGUCGACAACAUUGUCAUAAGGUAAG